rnacentral:rRNA from 1 species
ACGAACGCUGGCGGCACGCUUAACACAUGCAAGUCGAACGAGAGAAGAGAAGCUUGCUUUUCUGAUCUAGUGGCGGACGGGUGAGUAACACGUGAGCAAUCUACCUUUCAGAGGGGGAUACCGAUUGGAAACGAUCGUUAAUACCGCAUAAUAUAAUUGAACCGCAUGAUUUGAUUAUCAAAGAUUUAUCGCUGAAAGAUGAGCUCGCGUCUGAUUAGCUAGUUGGUAAGGUAACGGCUUACCAAGGCGACGAUCAGUAGCCGGACUGAGAGGUUGAUCGGCCACAUUGGGACUGAGACACGGCCCAGACUCCUACGGGAGGCAGCAGUGGGGAAUAUUGCACAAUGGAGGAAACUCUGAUGCAGCGAUGCCGCGUGAGGGAAGAAGGUUUUAGGAUUGUAAACCUCUGUCUUCAGGGACGAAAAAAGACGGUACCUGAGGAGGAAGCUCCGGCUAACUACGUGCCAGCAGCCGCGGUAAUACGUAGGGAGCGAGCGUUGUCCGGAAUUACUGGGUGUAAAGGGAGCGUAGGCGGGAUCGCAAGUCAGAUGUGAAAACUAUGGGCUUAACCCAUAAACUGCAUUUGAAACUGUGGUUCUUGAGUGAAGUAGAGGUAAGCGGAAUUCCUAGUGUAGCGGUGAAAUGCGUAGAUAUUAGGAGGAACAUCAGUGGCGAAGGCGGCUUACUGGGCUUUAACUGACGCUGAGGCUCGAAAGCGUGGGGAGCAAACAGGAUUAGAUACCCUGGUAGUCCACGCCGUAAACGAUGAUUACUAGGUGUGGGGGGACUGACCCCUUCCGUGCCGCAGCAAACGCAAUAAGUAAUCCACCUGGGGAGUACGACCGCAAGGUUGAAACUCAAAGGAAUUGACGGGGGCCCGCACAAGCAGUGGAGUAUGUGGAUUAAUUCGAAGCAACGCGAAGAACCUUACCAGGUCUUGACAUCGUAUGCAUAGCUCAGAGAUGAGUGAAAUCUCUUCGGAGACAUAUAGACAGGUGGUGCAUGGUUGUCGUCAGCUCGUGUCGUGAGAUGUUGGGUUAAGUCCCGCAACGAGCGCAACCCUUACUGUUAGUUGCUACGCAAGAGCACUCUAGCAGGACUGCCGUUGACAAAACGGAGGAAGGUGGGGAUGACGUCAAAUCAUCAUGCCCCUUAUGACCUGGGCCUCACACGUACUACAAUGGCUGUUAACAGAGGGAUGCAAAGCCGCGAGGUGGAGCGAACCCCUAAAAGCAGUCUUAGUUCGGAUUGUAGGCUGCAACCCGCCUACAUGAAGUCGGAAUUGCUAGUAAUCGCAGAUCAGCAUGCUGCGGUGAAUACGUUCCCGGGCCUUGUACACACCGCCCGUCACGCCAUGGGAGUCGGUAACACCCGAAGCCUGUAGUCUAACCGCAAGGAGGACGCAGUCGAAGGUGGGAUUGAUGACUGGGGUG